AGAUCUUUAGCUCAAAUGGUAGAGCACUUGAGAUUGUCUUUGGCUCAAGAGAUGGUGGUUCGAAUCCGCCAAGAUCAA